GCAAACUUGGUCAUUUAGAGGAAGUAAAAGUCGUAACAAGGUUUCCGUAGGUGAACCUGCGGAAGGAUCAUUAAUGAAGUAUUAAUUGCUGGUUAGAGUUGGAGCUGGUUGACCUAGUUAACAAAUGUGCUCACUCUAAUCGACAAGUCCACUAUACUUAAACACUUGUGAACUUUUUAAAUAUAAACACUUUGUUUUGUUAUUUGAACGUUUGGUUAUAAUAAGUUAAUACAACUUUCAACAACGGAUCUCUUGGCUCUCGCAUCGAUGAAGAACGCAGC
rnacentral:misc_RNA from 1 species